UACAGAGGUCUCAAGCGUUGUUCGGAUUCACUGGGCGUAAAGGGCGCGUAGGCGGGAUGGCAAGUCGGUCGUGAAAUCUCUCGGCUCAACCGAGAAACGUCGGCCGAUACUGCCGUUCUUGAGGGAUGCAGAGGAGACUGGAAUUCCCGGUGUAGCGGUGAAAUGUGUAGAGAUCGGGAGGAACACCGGUGGCGAAGGCGGGUCUCUGGGCAUUUCCUGACGCUGAGGCGCGAAAGCGUGGGGAGCAAACGGG
rnacentral:rRNA from 1 species